UACGUAGGGUGCAAGCGUUAAUCGGAAUUACUGGGCGUAAAGCGUGCGCAGGCGGUUUUGUAAGUCUGUUGUGAAAUCCCCGGGCUUAACCUGGGAAUGGCAAUGGAGACUGCAAGGCUAGAGUUUGGCAGAGGGGGGUAGAAUUCCACGUGUAGCAGUGAAAUGCGUAGAGAUGUGGAGGAACACCGAUGGCGAAGGCAGCCCCCUGGGUCAAGACUGACGCUCAUGCACGAAAGCGUGGGGAGCAAACAGGG
rnacentral:rRNA from 1 species